rnacentral:rRNA from 1 species
GUUUAUGACCAUAACACUUUCAACGCGCCGGAUCUCAUCUGAUCUCGUGGAGCUAAGCAGGGUCAGACCUGGUUAGUACUUGAAUGGAUGACCGCCUGGAAAUACCGAGUAAUGGAGGCU